GACCGGGUAGAGCUGAAGGAGGCUUUUCAUUUGGUAUUUCGUUGGAGAUACUCUGUGAGUACGGAUACUUCUUGAUCCCCUUGUAGAGUGUUCUUCGGUGUUAUGCCGUGUGUUGAGUCGACACCGCGAUUAGUAAGUAGGUUAGUCUGGCAUUUGGUGGAAGGUAGCUCAGCCCCCGGUUGAGUAUUAUAGCCGCCUUGUCCAGCACUAGCUGAAUACUAUUAUGUUCCGGCACUUAAGUCGAUCUGAGGUGCGAUGUUUGUGUGACAACUCAAAAGAGAUGGCAUGCAUUAUCUGAGCAUCGAGGGAAGGCCUCUUGGUGUUGGUCAGAAUCUGCGGUGGUAUUGUAGGCAUUCUACCUGACCCGUCUUGAAACACGGACCAAGGAGUUUAACAUGUACGCAAGUCAUUGGGUGGUACGAAACCUAAAGGCGAAGUGAAAGUAAAGACUAACCUCGUUAGUUGAGGUAGGAUCCUGGUUCAAUCGGGCGUAAGCACGUUGGCUAGGCGCACUACCAGCUCGUCCCAUACUCUAUUGAGUGGGGCGAAGCAAGAGCGUACAUGUUGAGACCCGAAAGAUGGUGAACUAUGCUUGUGUAGGUUGAAGCCAGGGGAAACCCUGGUGGAGGACCGUAGCGAUUCUGACGUGCAAAUCGAUCGUCAAACAUGAGUAUAGGGGCGAAAGACUAAUCGAACCAUCUAGUAGCUGGUUCCCUCCGAAGUUUCCCUCAGGAUAGCUGGCACUCAAGAAACAAACAGUUUUAUCCGGUAAAGCGAAUGAUUAGCAGUAUUGGGGAAGAAAUUUCCUCAACUGAUUCUCAAACUUUAAAUGGGUGAGACGCUCAACUCUCUUUAUUGGAGCUGAGCAUUGAAUGUGAGUGCCAAGUGGGCCAUUUUUGGUAAGCAGAACUGGCGAUGUGGGAUGAACCAAACGUCUGGUUACGGAGCCAAACAUAACGCUCAUCAGAUACCACAAAAGGUGUUGGUUGAUAUUGACAGCAGGACGGUGGCCAUGGAAGUCGGAAUCCGCUAAGGAGUGUGUAACAACUCACCUGCCGAAUCAACCAGCCCUGAAAAUGGAUGGCGCUGGAGCGUUGGUCCUAUACCAGACCGUUAUUGCGAUACUCAGUAUGCAAUAACGAGUAGGAGGGCGUAGUGGUGAGCAUUGAAGCCUAGGCCGUGAGGCUGGGUGGAGCCGCCACUGGUGCAGAUCUUGGUGGCAGUAGCAA
rnacentral:rRNA from 1 species